rnacentral:rRNA from 2 species
CAACGCCGCGUGAGUGAUGAAGGUUUUCGGAUCGUAAAGCUCUGUUGUUAGGGAAGAACAAGUGCCGUUCGAAUAGGGCGGCACCUUGACGGUACCUAACCAGAAAGCCACGGCUAACUACGUGCCAGCAGCCGCGGUAAUACGUAGGUGGCAAGCGUUGUCCGGAAUUAUUGGGCGUAAAGCGCGCGCAGGUGGUUCCUUAAGUCUGAUGUGAAAGCCCACGGCUCAACCGUGGAGGGUCAUUGGAAACUGGGGAACUUGAGUGCAGAAGAGGAAAGUGGAAUUCCAAGUGUAGCGGUGAAAUGCGUAGAUAUUUGGAGGAACACCAGUGGCGAAGGCGACUUUCUGGUCUGUAACUGACACUGAGGCGCGAAAGCGUGGGGAGCAAACAGGAUUAGAUACCCUGGUAGUCCACGCCGUAAACGAUGAGUGCUAAGUGUUAGGGGGUUUCCGCCCCUUAGUGCUGCAGCUAACGCAUUAAGCACUCCGCCUGGGGAGUACGGUCGCAAGACUGAAACUCAAAGGAAUUGACGGGGGCCCGCACAAGCGGUGGAGCAUGUGGUUUAAUUYGAAGCAACGCGAAGAACCUUACCAGGUCUUGACAUCCUCUGACAACCCUAGAGA